AAAUAUGAAAUUAUAUUCAAAUUCGAAUUGAAAAAAGGAAAAAUCUUUUCCCAUAUUUA
rnacentral:tRNA from 1 species